CUGUAAGUUUGUAAUGUUGUGUGAGCCACACCUGGGUUAAAAUACUAUUUCAAUUACUUUCACAUACUUUGAAAUGUGGCAACAAUGUCAUACUCUGUUGGACCAGACAGCAUCAGAUAGAUGGCCUACACAUACAGAGACAGAGGGACGCUGUUUCCCUCGCUCGGAUGUUUUCUCAGGCCAAGGACCUCAGCUACUCAGAGAUGGACCUCCGUGCCAAGCCCAAGAGGUUCGGCACGUUCACCUUUGGCUUGAAGAGGAGGAAGAAGAAGAGUGCCGGGGAUCUCUCCCAGAGCAUCGUGGUCCUCCAUGGCCCCGAGCCAGAGGACAAAGGGCAAGAGGAGGAGGAGCUUCUGAACCUCAGCCUCUGGGACAUCGGCCAAGGCGGCACUCUGAACAAGAGCGUAAGGUUCGCUGUGUCUCAGCCUGACCUAAACACUAAGACACUGGUCACCUCUUAUCCUCCUCCCACUGUCCCCAAGAAAUCGCAGGCCCAGGAGCCACCGAUGGACAGUCCUAAGACUGCCACUAACCAACCAAAUUCCCAGAUGGAUAACAUUAUUCCUCUUGAAGUGGGCCGGGCUACAAGAAAAGUUCCUUUAGCUAUGCCUGAGGUGGAGUGGAACGAGAUCUCACAGGAAGAGGAGAGCCCGGAUGUUCAGUGUGACAACCCGUAUGCCUCAACAGACCAUACUGACACAGCUUCUCCAAUGGAUGUUGAUAGCUUUAACCGAAGUCCUCCACCUUUCCCACCUAACCCACCUCCACCGUCCUAUCCAUCUAGCCCACCCCCCUGCUACCCAUUGAGCCCAGCUACAUCCUUUUCCCCCUUUAGCUCUCCUCCUGCUACAGUUUACACCUCAAACGAGAGUGAUGAAAUGUCCCCCUUACCACUAUUCACAGGGUCAGCACUGGGUAUUUUUCAUCCUGUCCUUCCUGUGACUGAACUCUCACUUAGCAAAACUGAGGCCUCUUAUGUUACUCUCUCCAUUGGACAACCUGUUGUUGUUGAAAAUAUCACCACUGUUACCCCUAAUACAGAUCCCUCUCCCAUUGCCUUGGACCCCAAUAUAGAUGCCACUAUUACUGAAACGGACACAACUGACGUUAAACCCGAGACCUUUCCUCUGAACCCUGAUUCUUUGGCUGACAACACUGAGACACCUAUUCUCAACACCGUCACCUCUGCUCUUAUCACCGUCAACUCUGUUACUGACAUGGACACCAACUCCAUCAAUGAUACCUCUGUCUCCACCACUGAUACAUCUAGGCCUAUGCCUGAAACGAUCACCUCCAUCACCUCUGAAGAGUUCAGCAUUGCUAUUGCUGAUCCUGGCCCCUCUCUCGCUGAAAUGGUCAUCCCCGUUCCAAGCACUGACAAAUCUACACCUGAAAUGCUAGCCUCCUUUGCAAACACUGUCAACUCCAUUACCAACAGUGUCAACACUGUCCCCAACACUGACACUUUCUCUGCCAACACGGAGGUAUUUGGAACUCUGUAUGACUCACUAUUUCCGCAAAGUUUCACCUCGGAACAAAAAUCUGCCACAUCAGACAAUGACUCUACUGAGGGAUGCCUCGACACCAACCUAACCGUAAUAAAGGAUGAAACUAACCCACACCUGUCCUUGGAUAGCCCCUUUGACUCACCAAGUCCCAUUUUACCUGAAUCAGUUAAACAGGAGUCUAAAACUGCCAUUGAUCACACUGAAGCUAGUGUCAGUGACCCCACCCAAUCAUUACAGUCUGCCACUGACGCCCUUGUCCCCGGCAUGGAUAUACCUGCCACUGCAGUCUCCAAAAUGGAUUCCAGCCACCCUGACACAGACACCACUGCUAAUACUAACCUCACUGUUACUGAUACCGACUCUCAACCACUAUUCGAAGAUCUUUACGACUCUCUUUUCCCUGGAAUGUUCCCCUCACCUCACAUAUCUGGCCACACCGCAUCUGCUCUCAGCACUUACACUUCUGGCAUUGUGACAUCGGGCGUGAUGAUGGACACUCGAUGCACACCUCCUAAUAUAGACGCUCCUUUUGAGAACAAGCUUCCCCCUGUUCCUCAAACAGACACUGUCCACCCUAGCACAGAUGUCUCCCUCGCUGAGCCUGAGGCCUUUGCGCCUCUGUGCUUUGAGCCUACACUCCCCACAACUGAGCCAAUGGAAAUGGAUGACUUAGAGCCUGAGCGUCCCACCUCAGACUCACCUCUCCCAAAUACCGAUAUCGCUGUCCCUGAUACUGGCUCUAGUGACACAUGUGAAUCUCUCUAUGACUUUCUUUUCCCUGAACGUUUUCUUUCUGACCAGGUGUCCACCAUUUCUGACCCCGACCGUGAUAAACCAGUCUACGUUACGGACACCGAUUCUGUUCCACUCCGACCAGAUUGCAACACUCGACCAAACCUUGUUGAUCAGUCGGAGCCUUUGACCGCAGCUCUUCCAGUUGACCUUGAUACGGAGGACACUGAAAACACAGAUCUCGUCCUUCAUCAUUCUGAUAUGAACAUGGACAACUCUGAUCACAUUCUCUCGGACAAUGUCACCCUCGUUUCUGACAUUCUUAGCGCUAGCCAUCCAAGCACUAAGAAUUCCAGUACUCUUGAAACCAACAUCUCCAUUGAUGCGUCCGUCGCCUCAACAAUAGCAGAGACAAUGGCUACUGAAACAGGUCAAGAAGUAGCAGUGCAGAUUAUGAAAGAGGAAAAUGGACAGAUUGAGCAGAAUAUUAUGUCCUAUGAUGUAGACAUUGUCAGGGAAAGAUCAAAUGACAUGUCCACCAUGGCUACUGAGAAAGUUCAAGAAGCAGAGGUGGAGGUAAUGGAUGAGGCCAACAGCAUAGAUUCUAAUAGACAGAUUAAGGAACAAAUGCCCUGUGAUGCAGACGUUAACAGGGCAAGCUCACAGUGUGUGAUCAUACCAGAGAACAGCAAUGCCAUGGAAGUCGCAAUACCAGCGGUCCAUUACAGCAUCCUGGAGGAUUACAUGGAGGAGAGUGGCGUUGAAGAGGAAAUGAAAGGAGCGGGAAAACAACGGAGGAAUGGUAAUGAAACAGUUGACGCGGGAUGGAGUUUGGGGUCACAGAAAGUAACGUUAGAAACGAAGGAUAGAGGUCAAGAGAAUGAAGUCCACCGAGAGGAGAAGAGACGCAUUGAGUCCCCAGAAGACGGUGAUGCAGAGAGGCUGGUGCCGGUGGAGGAGAGAGGAGCGAGAGAGGUCUCGGCACUGGUGAAAGAAGGGUGGGAGGAUGGGGUGGAACCAGCCCUACCUGUUCUGCAGGUGCACACACUCAUGGAAUGUGAGUCUCCCGCCCCGCCUUCCAUCACAGAGCAGCAUGGAGAGGAGGAGGGGUCAGGGAGUAACCGGAGUGCAGUUACACACGCUUACCUGGUAACGGAGGCCUGCGCUGAUGCACAUACACUCAGACAGACCCCAGGUCACGAAGAGCCACAGGAGUCUCACAGCGGCGAGAAUGAACACGCUGUCACCGGCAACAGAGAGAGACGGGACACACUCGCAACACAUAACACACUCGCACACACCACAGGCCGAGAGGGGAGCAUUUUAGACACACUCACAGCAGAGGAAGCGGACCUAGUCACUCGUACUACCGAGGACACAUCCUCUUUCUCUGAGCAGAAAGCAAAAGUGAACACCACUAGCACGCAUGGCGAGAACACAUUCACACUUGACAGAGAAGCGACAGCGACAGACACAGAGUCCAGAACAUACACUGUAAAGAUAGAACAUGAAGGGACACUCGGUACUGAGUGGAUAGACAGCAUUGUCACGCAGGAAACAGACCGAGCCAGUUCAGAGCCAGUGCCAGAGCAGGUGGCAGUGAAUCCUCCUGUCACACGAGACACAAUCCUCGACAGACUUCGAAAGAGAGCCAACGGUUUUGCCACUGAGGACACAGAGAGACCCGGUGCAGAGCCAGAGCAGGUGGGAGGGACGCUAUCAGUCACUGCAGAUACACUCCUCAACUCACUGAGGAACAGAGUCAAAUUCCUCAGCCAGCCCGAAGGGUAAGGGAUGACAUUUCAUCUGCUAUCCUUACUCUGAUUUCCUACUUUUCAUGAUGUGUGUGUUUUGAAGUGGAGGUGAUCAAGUUUCAUGUGAUCUUUCUAUGCUAAAUGAGUGAG
ensembl:lncRNA